AGCGAACGCUAGCGGCAGGCUUAAUACAUGCAAGUCGAGGGGCAGCAUGACUGUAGCAAUACAGUUGAUGGCGACCGGCAAACGGGUGCGGAACACGUACAGAACCUUCCUUUAAGUGGUGAAUAGCCCAGAGAAAUUUGGAUUAAUACACCGUAACAUAUAGCGUUGGCAUCAAUUUUAUAUUAUAGCUCCGGCGCUUAAAGAUGGCUGUGCGGCUGAUUAGGUAGUUGGCGGGGUAACGGCCCACCAAGCCUACGAUCAGUAACUGGUGUGAAGGGACGACCAGUCACACGGGCACUGAGACACGGGCCCGACUCCUACGGGAGGCAGCAGUAAGGAAUAUUUGUCAAUGGACGCAAGUCUGAACCAGCCAUGCCGCGUGGAGGAUGAAGGUCCUCUGGAUUGUAAACUUCUUUUCUCUGGGGCGAAAACCUCUCAUGCUUGGGAGCUUGACAGUACCAGAGGAAUAAGCACCGGCUAACUCCGUGCCAGCCGCCGCCGUAAGAC
rnacentral:rRNA from 1 species